CCCUUAGAUGUUCUGGGCCGCACGCGCGCUACACUGACGAAUGCAACGAGCUUAUAACCUUGGCCGAAAGGUCUGGGUAAUCUCCAAAUUUCGUCGUGAUGGGGAUAGAUUAUUGCAAUUAUUAAUCUUCAACGAGGAAUGCCUAGUAAGCGCAAGUCAUCAGCUUGCGUUGAUUACGUCCCUGCCCUUUGUACACACCGCCCGUCGCUCCUACCGAUUGAAUGGUCCGGUGAAGCGUUCGGACCGUGGCCUUUGGACGGUUCGCCGUCUGUUGGCUGCGGGAAGUUCGUUAAACCUUAUCAUUUAGAGGAAGGAGAAGUCGUCACA
rnacentral:rRNA from 1 species